UCUGAGGACACACCACCUGUGAAGUGUCAAAAGUGGGACUUGUUACCAAGCUUUCCUACAUCCGAAUACAGCUCUACAUCCAUUCCCCCAACUCUCUCAUUCCACAGAAAAGGAAACAGACCCGGAGAAGUUAUCGGGUACACCAAGAACCCAACAGAGGAGACUGGAUUCCUGACAGAUGUUCCAUUGAAGACCCAGCUUCAUACAGGACUUAGCAUAAUGCCUGGCACAUUACAGGCACUUGAUGACUGACCACUCUAGGAAGGGAGCAGAUGUUUUAAAAUGCUCGUUUUGGAAUGUUUGGGGAUUUGGAAGAAGCAUCUCCCUUUCUAGGCCACAAGGAAGAACCACCGUGUUUGGAGAAUGGUCCAAUACAAAAUAGGGAAGUGGAAUCUAGUGAAUACAAGGAGCAGGUUUUGAGGCAACUCAUUAGAAAGUCUGCUGGUGAUUCAAUGAGCAGAACUUUGUGUUCUAACUUGGAAGAUUAUACAAGAACCACAGGCUCCUGGCUCCCUGAAAAUGUGCAGCCAAGACAGGAAGGGAAGGAAAACCACGUGGCAAACAACUGGGAUGCUGGGUCUCAACUGAAAUACAUUCUCUUCAGCCACUUUAUAUACCUGUGCUCAUGAAGCCAAACUCUCAGGGUUUUACCGUGUUGACUGACCAAAUGUUAUUGAUCCUCAUCAUCCUCAUCCUCAUCCACAAUGGGCAUUUAUUUAAUGCUUUGGGAUCUACAGAGACCUUUACAAUCACCUAAUUUGAGCCUCACCAAAGCCUUGAAGAUAAAUACUAUGGGUAUUAUCCCCCUUUUACAGAGGGGCUGAAGCCCAAGGGAGGCCAAUUCACUUGCAUGUAUUCACAUAGCUAGCAAAUAUCCCAGGUAGAAUUUGAACCUAGACCUUCCUAACUCCCAAGUCCAGCAUCAUAACCAUUAACAUAAGCUAAAAUCCUAGGCACAGGAGCCCAGAAAAUAUGAUUAAACAAAGAGACAAGAGGACCAGGGGUUCCAGUCUUUCUGAGGGAUCAGGCACUCACAGGAAACCAUAAGCCUCCUCACUGGCAAGGAAUGGAAUC